rnacentral:rRNA from 1 species
AAUCUUCCACAAUGGACGAAAGUCUGAUGGAGCAAUGCCGCGUGUGUGAAGAAGGUCUUCGGAUUGUAAAGCACUUUAAGUUGGGAGGAAGGGGUUGAAGCUAAUACCUUCAAUCUUUGACGUUACCAACAGAAUAAGCACCGGCUAACUCUGUGCCAGCAGCCGCGGUAAUACAGAGGGUGCAAGCGUUAAUCGGAAUUACUGGGCGUAAAGCGCGCGUAGGUGGUUCAGUAAGAUGGGUGUGAAAUCCCCGGGCUUAACCUGGGAACUGCUUUCAUAACUGCUGAGCUAGAGUACGGUAGAGGGUAGUGGAAUUUCCUGUGUAGCGGUGAAAUGCGUAGAUAUAGGAAGGAACACCAGUGGCGAAGGCGACUACCUGGACUGAUACUGACACUGAGGUGCGAAAGCGUGGGGAGCAAACA